GGCUAUCUCUGACCAUUGAGCAAAGAGGACUUUUCAAGGUUUUGUUUACUUUAUACUUGAAAAGUUUCUCAAAACAAGUAAACUAAGCUUGUAGAAUAUUUUGGAAGAUAUAAAUUUGGACAUGGGUUCGAGUCCCAUCAUCUCCACCA
rnacentral:tmRNA from 1 species